GGCUCAGGAUGAACGCUAGCUACAGGCUUAACACAUGCAAGUCGAGGGGAAACGAUAUUGGAAGCUUGCUUCUGAUAGGCGUCGACCGGCGCACGGGUGAGUAACGCGUAUCCAACCUGCCCAUCACUUGGGGAUAACCUUGCGAAAGUAAGACUAAUACCCAAUGACGUCUCUAGAAGACAUCUGAAAGAGAUUAAAGAUUUAUCGGUGAUGGAUGGGGAUGCGUCUGAUUAGCUUGUUGGCGGGGUAACGGCCCACCAAGGCGACGAUCAGUAGGGGUUCUGAGAGGAAGGUCCCCCACAUUGGAACUGAGACACGGUCCAAACUCCUACGGGAGGCAGCAGUGAGGAAUAUUGGUCAAUGGACGAGAGUCUGAACCAGCCAAGUAGCGUGCAGGAUGACGGCCCUAUGGGUUGUAAACUGCUUUUAUAAGGGAAUAAAGUGGGAGUCGUGACUCUUUUUGCAUGUACUUUAUGAAUAAGGACCGGCUAAUUCCGUG
rnacentral:rRNA from 1 species